CCCUGCCAUUUUAUGCCUGAAGCGAUUUUUCUCGAAAUUUAAAAAAGCCUAACUUCGUUAUAUUCAUUCCCACUUCGUUUUGGCCAAUUUUUUGAGAGGAAACAACCCUAGGGUUUCUCCAAAACAUAUAAGAUUCUUGAAACCCAAGAAAGGGAAGAAGAAAGGGACGUUUGGAGACGUUGAGAUUCCUUCAAUAAGUGUGAUUGUAGAACCUUGAGAAUUAUGUUUGAGCGAGAUUUAAGGUAUGUCU